rnacentral:rRNA from 1 species
AGCAGUCGCCGCGGUAAGACAGAGGAUGCAAGCGUUAUCCGGAAUGAUUGGGCGUAAAGCGUCUGUAGGUGGCUUCUUAAGUCGGAUGUGAAAUCCCUGAGCUUAACUUAGGAAUUGCAUUCGAUACUGGGAAGCUAGAGUAUGGGAGAGGAUGGUAGAAUUCCAGGUGUAGCGGUGAAAUGCGUAGAGAUCUGGAGGAAUACCGAUGGCGAAGGCAGCCAUCUGGCCUAAUACUGACGCUGAGGUACGAAAGCAUGGGGAGCAAACAGGAUUAGAUACCCCAGUAGUCCCUGUCUCUUAUAC